rnacentral:rRNA from 1 species
CCUACGGGAGGCAGCAGUCGGGAAUAUUGCUCAAUGGGCGAAAGCCUGAAGCAGCAACGCCGCGUGCAUGAUGAAGGCCUUCGGGUCGUAAAAUGCUUUUUAGGAGGAUGAGGAAGGACAGUACUCCUAGAAUAAGCCACGGCAAACUACGUGCCAGCAGCCGCGGUAAAACGUAGGUGGCGAGCGUUAUCCGGAUUUACUGGGCGUAAAGCGCGUGCAGGCGGUCGGGCAAGUCGGGCAUUAAAUCUCUGGGCUUAACUCAGAGGCGCUGUCCGAUACUGUUCGGCUUGAGGAUGGUAGAGGGCGAUGGAAUUCCGCGUGUAGUGGUGAAAUGCGUAGAUAUGCGGAGGAACACCAGUGGCGAAAGCGGUCGCCUGGACCAAACCUGACGCUAAAGCGCGAAAGCUAGGGUAGCGAACGGGAUUAGAAACCCCGGUAGUCCUAGCCGUAAACGAUGUUGACUAGGUGUUAAGGGAUUAACCUCCUUUAGUGCCGGAGCAAACGCGUUAAGUCAACCGCCUGGGGACUACGGCCGCAAGGUUAAAACUCAAAGGAAUUGACGG